GAAAUACGAUAAGUAGUAUAAAUUAUAGAAUUUAGUAAAUUAUCGAAUCUUUAAACGCAUAUUACGCCCCUUGGUAUUCUGUGGGGCAUGCCUAUUUGAGCGUUAUCUACACCCUUAAGCUCUGCUUAGUGUUAGGUGUCUAUCCCGCCUUCGCGCGUGGACUUGCCUUAAAUAUAUUAGUAGCGGUCCUUGCCCCCUCCCGCGUAGCACAUUACGCUUCUCGAGGCUGCGGCGGCCUGCGUCUAAUAAGCUGAACCCCCCCGUUUGACCUCGGAUUAGGUAGGGAUACCCGCUGAACUUAAGU
rnacentral:misc_RNA from 1 species